rnacentral:rRNA from 1 species
UACAGAGGGCGCGAGCGUUGUCCGGAAUCACUGGGCGUAAAGGGCGCGUAGGCGGCUCGUGAAGUCGGGUGUGAAAGCCCGGGGCUCAACCCCGGAACGGCAUCCGAUACUGGCGGGCUUGAGACCGGGAGAGGAGGGUGGAAUACCCAGUGUAGAGGUGAAAUUCGUAGAUAUUGGGUGGAACACCGGUGGCGAAAGCGGCUCUCUGGCCCGGAUCUGACGCUGAGGCGCGAAAGCGUGGGGAGCAAACAGG